AAGUCGAACGGGCUCUUCGGAGCUAGUGGCGGACGGGUGAGUAACGCGUGAGAAUCUGCUUCAGGAGGGGGAUAACGACUGGAAACGGUCGCUAAUACCCCAUAUGCCUCCGGGUGAAAAGUAAUUCGCCUGAAGAUGAGCUCGCGUCAGAGUAGCUAGUUGGUGGGGUAAGAGCCUACCAAGGCGACGAUCUGUAGCUGGUCUGAGAGGAUGAUCAGCCACACUGGGACUGAGACACGGCCCAGACUCCUACGGGAGGCAGCAGUGGGGAAUUUUCCGCAAUGGGCGCAAGCCUGACGGAGCAAGACCGCGUGGGGGAUGACGGCCUAAUGGUUGUAAACCCCUUUUCUCUGGGAAGAAGACUGACGGUACCAGAGGAAUCAGCCUCGGCUAACUCCGUGCCAGCAGCCGCGGUAAUACGGAGGAGGCAAGCGUUAUCCGGAAUUAUUGGGCGUAAAGCGUCCGUAGGUGGUUAUUCAAGUCUGCUGUCAAAGCGUGGGGCUAAACUCCAUAGAGGCAGUGGAAACUGAGUGACUAGAGUGCGGUAGGGGUCGAGGGAAUUCCCAGUGUAGCGGUGAAAUGCGUAGAUAUUGGGAAAGAACACCAGUGGCGAAAGCGCUCGACUGGGCCUGCACUGACACUGAGGGACGAAAGCUAGGGGAGCGAAAGGGAUUAGAUACCCCUGUAGUCCUAGCCGUAAACGAUGGAUAC
rnacentral:rRNA from 1 species